rnacentral:rRNA from 1 species
UUGGAGGGCAAGUCUGGUGCCAGCAGCCGCGGUAAUUCCAGCUCCAAUAGCGUAUAUUAAAGUUGCUGCAGUUAAAAAGCUCGUAGUUGAAUUUCGGGACCAUCAUGUCGGUCGUGCCUCGGUACGUACUGGCAUUGUUGGUUUCUACCUUCUGACGAACCAUGAUGUCAUUUAUUUGGUGUCGUGGGAAAUCAGGACUGUUACUUUGAAAAAAUUAGAGUGUUUAAAGCAGGCUCACGCUUGAAUACAUUAGCAUGGAAUAAUGAAAUAGGACGUUUGAUUCUAUUUUGUUGGUUUCUAGGAUCGACGUAAUGAUUAAUAGGGAUAGUUGGGGGCAUUAGUAUUCAAUUGUCAGAGGUGAAAUUCUUGGAUUUAUUGAAGACUAACUACUGCGAAAGCAUUUGCCAAGGAUGUUUUCAUUAAUCAAGAACGAAAGUUAGGGGAUCGAAGACGAUCAGAUACCGUCGUAGUCUUAACCAUAAACUAUGCCGACUAGGGAUCGGAUGAUGUUAAUUUUUUAAUGACUCAUUCGGCGCCUUACGGGAAAC